rnacentral:rRNA from 1 species
CCGACCUUUUCUCCCCCUAUCUCGCUAGCACCCGACGUCCGCCAGGUCGGACCCUAUCUCUCAGUCCUGGUUAGGAGAGGGGCUUUGGAUCGCGUGAGCCGGUUAGGAGAGGCAGGAAGCUCGGGAGAAGAAGAGAAAGGCGAGGCAGAGCAGAGGGGACGAGAGCGUGGCGGCGGAAGAGAGGGCCGCGAGUUCCACGUUGUUGUUCCCGUGCAAGAGGUAGGUCGGCCUUGGACCAUCCCACGUCCAGCGGCCGUAGUGCGCGGCGCAGGGUACUAAGACCUAGACCGCGUAUAGAAGCAGUCCUCUCAUCCUCGUCGUCACUCCCGUCGUCUCCUUGGGUAGGACUUGCUCGGGGCGAGGCCGCAAACGGGCGUUUCCUCUCCCGUUCCUACCGAGGGUCAAGCACCUCCUCUGCUUGCCCGUGUCCCGUCCGUACAGAAGUACCACGAACGCCUCCCCGUCCCGGCGACUCCUUUUCACCACCACCCCCUCCUCCUGCGGGAACAGGAGCCACAAGCCCGUCGGUACCGACUGCGGUCUCGGCAACCGACCGAAACUUUAACAGGCAACAGCCGCAGGAGCAGUAGGUUGGUGGUCUUUAAACCACCGUGACCUAGGACGCCCUCCUCCAGGGACUCCGUAAACUAAGAACACCCUAAGGGUGUGUAGAACAUCCUAGUCGUUGUUCACCGACCCGGAGAUGUAAUAAGUAUUUUUGAUAAAAUAGAAAGUAAAUAAACAGAUUAAAGCCACGGGCACAGGAGCGGAGACAAGCCGAGAACAACUUCAAGGUUGCUUAAAGACACGAUGGAUUCUUCAUGACUACGAGUAUAUAAUGUUAAACGAUAGGUGUCGAAAGUCAGUACCCUAGAACUCUUUUCGUCAAAUCCGUAAAACGAACACAGUUGAUAUGCCUUAGACGUUUCAGAAAAAACACACGUCUUUUAAAGAGUGAGACGUAAUGAACGUUUUCUACGACUAAAACUAGAAUUGUUAAUAUCAACAACAAGUUCGUCAUCUUCUAGACCGUUGGAGUGCCGGUAGAGUAAGCUUUAACUUCAGGAUAGGAGUUUCAAAUCGAUUCACAUAAUAAAUAAAAGACCAAAUUUAAUAAAAGGAGUACACUGUGUUUUCCGAACUUCGGAAGAAAAUUGAGCGUGAAGAUACGAUUGGCUUAAAUAAAGACCGACAGUCUUCUCAAGCCUCGCUUCGACCGGUCGUAGAAGCGUACACUGUGUUUUUAACAACAAGUUCGUGUGUCGACGACAUAAAACAUUUAGCACUGCACAAGUAUACUAAAAAAAUGACUUCCACGAACAGUUAAUAUCCACUUUUUGAACCGUACCUCCGCGUAUCCUAACGACGAAGACAAAAACCAAACCGGGAACGCUCCCUCUGGCUUCGUUUGAGGUCGUCCAAAGUCCCUAUUAUGUUGGUUAUGUUGAUGAUGGAAACCACACGAAAAACCUACCUGAUUAGACUUCUACGACUGAUCGAACGUGGUGGUAGUAUAUCAGUGGUUCGUUCCCGUUCCUAAUAUCCCUUUUAUUUCCGUUAAGUGGUAGGCCUCCUUUACGGUUGAUUAUGUAAAAACAUGAAGGAGAUAAUGAUAACAGACAAACUUGAGAACAUCAUCCCGAGCCUGAAAGUUUCAAUAAUCCGGACACCUGUACAAAAAUAAAAUCAAACAUGUCAAAACACAAGAAAACCGAAGUCCAACCACGACGUGUCUUUCACGUCAUGUGAGUCCACUACGUACUUUGUUUGACGUCUGGAUCGUAUCAAAAACAUAAACCUAAAACAUUGAUUCCACUACGAAAAUACAAUUUUACGAACAAACAAGAGAUUCAUUCGAUUGUUGCCCACGAUCGUUAUUAUGUUUG